rnacentral:rRNA from 1 species
GUAGGGAAUCUUCCACAAUGGACGCAAGUCUGAUGGAGCAACGCCGCGUGAGUGAAGAAGGUCUUCGGAUCGUAAAACUCUGUUGUUAGAGAAGAACACGAGUGAGAGCAACUGUUCAUUCGAUGACGGUAUCUAACCAGCAAGUCACGGCUAACUACGUGUCAG